AUCUACUGUUAAUAUUAAACACAGUGGAAUCUUUUAAUGGCAGCUGUGUCACUAUUGACAGAUUUGGAAAAAGAAUAUAUUUUUGUUGCGAUAAUUACGAAAUGAUUAAUGGUGUUUGUGUCGAGUGUAUGGACGGAUUUGAAUCUUUGGAUGGCUCCCAAUGCAGACCUUGUCACAGAGGAUUCUACGGAAGAAAAUGUAUGAGGAAGUGUUACUGUAAAAUGGAUGAAAAAUGUGACCACGUGAUAGGAUGUUUAAGAAUAUUACCUACCACAGAAGCUGUAACAGAACAUGACCAUGUUGAAG